ACAGAAACUUCAUAAAAUUGUUUAUGUAUAACAAAAGAGCAAGAAACAAUUCUAACUGUAGUCUUGACAAUACAAUAGUGAUCUGGU